rnacentral:rRNA from 1 species
CAGUAGCCGCGGUAAUACGUAGGUGGCAAGCGUUGUCCGGAAUUAUUGGGCGUAAAGGGCUCGCAGGCGGUUUCUUAAGUCUGAUGUGAAAGCCCCCGGCUCAACCGGGGAGGGUCAUUGGAAACUGGGAAACUUGAGUGCAGAAGAGGAGAGUGGAAUUCCACGUGUAGCGGUGAAAUGCGUAGAGAUGUGGAGGAACACCAGUGGCGAAGGCGACUCUCUGGUCUGUAACUGACGCUGAGUAGCGAAAGCGUGGGGAGCGAACAGGAUUAGAUACCCCCGUAGUCCCUGUCUCUUAUAC